CUGUAUGUAAGGCUUCUGAAAAUUUUUCUAAAGCUUCUCAGCCACACAAUCUCACAGAAUGAAAAUGAUCAAACCUUCUAGAGCCCAACGUGAUCACCAACUCUCAUCUCACUGCCACGUGUUACACAAUGAAUGGAAAUGUUUGUAAUCUCACCUGCCAUAUCUGCACCUCCCCCCCACUCCAAGCACGCCAGCAAAUUGCACCCACUGAAGCUAAGGCUUGUCAUCCUCUGCUGUCUUCCCAUCCAAUCACCCAAAACAAAAAUCGGCAUAGAACUCCAUUCCUUAUGUUGGUUCAGGUCUUUUCUUCGUUUCCUUAAGGAGCCCAGAUUUUGUCUCUUGACAAAGAGUUAUACCAUGGAGGCCCUAAAUGCAGCAGGUUUGACCCCAAUAUCGGUUCUUUGUGAAAAAAGAACAGAACCCGAAAAAUUUUUAUGCCUCCCUGCUACUUCAUCACUCAAAUUCUCAAACUCUGCUUCUCUAAGCUUCACCCCACAUACUAAUACCAUACAAGAGUGCUUAUCAAGGACUUUUCAUGGGGGUCUAGUAGCCUUAUCUUCAGUUCUUAGCACUGGGUUAGCUAAAGCUUUAACAUAUAAGGAAGCACUACAACAGUCAACGAGCACCCCCGCAUCGGAUUUUGAUGCCAGUGGAGUUCUUGAUAAUGUUAUCAGUUUUGCAACUGAAAACCCAACUGUUAUAGGAGGUGGUGCUGCAAUUUUGGCAGUUCCAUUGGUUUUGUCUCAGAUUCUAAAGAAGCCCAAGCCAUGGGGUGUUGAGUCUGCAAGAAAAGCUUAUGCAGUAUUGGGAGAUGAUGCAAAUGCUCAGUUACUUGAUAUAAGAGCGCCAGUGGAGUUGAAAAAAAUGGGUACUCCUGAUAUCAGGGGUUUCAAAAAGAAGCCAGUGUCAAUUGCUUACAAAGGUGAUGAUAAGCCAGGUUUCUUGAAGAAGCUGUCUUUGAAGUUUAAGGAACCAGAAAAUACUACAUUGUUCAUUCUAGAUAAGUAAGAGUUUGGACCUAUUUGGAAUUCUGUUGUACUGAUUCCUCUCAUAAUAAUUAGGCUGUGAAUUAAUAAGGGAGUUCUUUUUAUAGAAUUUUUAAAUUAGACAGUUAGAUUAUGCUUUAUGAAAAUUGUUUCUUCAUGAGCUGAUUUAGGUAGUUUACCAUAUCAAGAAUUAGAUUUCAAUUAAUAAUGAGAAAAUAAUUAGAUUUAAAAGAUUUUGGUCUCUUUUAUUUUUUUCCCCUUGAAUUCAGAGGGCUGGUUGUGACUGAGAACUGUGUUAGUUCUUGCAUUGAAUUUCUUAUUGGGUUGCUCCAUCAAAUUCCAUGUUCCAUUUCAUAGAAGUAACAAUGUGCUAAAUGGUACACAUAAGAUCUGCAAUUUGAUUUGAAAAAUACAAACAGAAGAUCUUUGGCUGUGUUUGGUUUAGGUACACUACAUUUGCUCUUGAGCAUCAGUGUGAUGUUUGAGGCUAUGGAGAUAAAGCCCAGCCAAAAAGAUAAAGCAUAGCUGGCAAAUAGCACUACCCACAUUGGUAUGUUAAGUUAUAGCAUACUUUUAAAUCAUGAUGCCUCGUAGAUAGAAUUAUUCAUAAUUUCAAAGCACUAUAAUUAAUUUCCUCAACUAAGGAUUUCAACUGGUUCAUUGUCAACAUGACUUCCUUUUAGCGAAUUUAGUUACUUAGAAACCUUAUUUAGAUAUAUAAGGAAAAGCAAAAUUAGUAGAAUGAGAAAGAAAAGCAGCAGAAUAGAAGAAGUGGGAGGUCAGUCAGGUUGGUAAAUGAAAUAUCUGCUGAUUUUUUCACCUCUCACUUUGUCUCUCUUACUCAUGCAUGCAUGACUGCACUGCAUUCCAGUUCAUGUGAGCAUGCACAUAUGCAAAUAAAAUUUCCCUUGUGAUUUUAUCACGCACAAAAUAAUCAAAUUAGAGUUUCUGCUUGGUUGUUUGACAUUAAACUUACCAUAUAUAAACUAAUGUUGCGAAAUUUAUGAUGAAAGCCAGAUUCAAUGGGAACUCUGAACUGGUUGCAGAGUUGGUCACUGUAAACGGAUUUAAAGCUGCUUAUGCUAUAAAAGAUGGUGCAGAUGGACCACAGGGAUGGAUGGUAUUCUUUUAGUGUCACCUGUUUUCUAUUUAAUCUUUGUGUGUGCAAGUCUUGUUUGUCAUCUCAUACAGAAGUAACUAGAAAUUUGAAGAUGAACUCUGAUUUUGCAGAAUACUAGCGUUCCUUGGAUACCUCCAAGUAAAGGGUUGAGUCUUGAUCUUAGCAAUUUGACAGAUACUCUCAGCAAUGCACUUGGGGAGGGCUCGGAUGCCUUGCCUCUGACCAUUGGGAUUGCAGCAGCUGCUGGCUUAGGUGUGUUAGCAUUUUCAGAGGUCAGUUCAGUCUUUUCUCCUUUUGUUUUUUCCUUCAUUUUUCUUUAAAUUUUCAAUAAGCAAAUUUAUGAUGAGAAAUGCAAGAUUUCUUCUUUUUUUUCCCCUAUAUUUUUCCAGAUAGAAACAAUUCUCCAAGUAUUAGGCUCAGCUGCAAUUGUUCAGUUUGUGAGUCAGAAACUCCUGUUUGCAGAGGAACGUAAGAAAACUCUGCAGCAGGUUGAUGAAUUCUUGAACACCAUGGUUGCCCCUAAAGAGCUUGUUGGUGAUAUAAAGGUAUCUAAACUUAAUAUCUGAAACCUAGUAAUUUGUUUUUAUUUUGAUAUUGUAACCAAAUGACUAAUCUUUUUCUAAAUAAUAUAGCAUUGCUUAUUAAUCAUAGCUGUAAGACUUUUCUGUGAAAAUUACCUUGUAAAUUCAGCAAAUUGGGAAGGCUCUUCUACCAACAGUGGGGCCAAGUAAGGCACUCCCUCGACCUGUGGAACCAAGUUCAGAAUCUGCUGCUGCUGAUAGUACUAUACAGAAGUCAGAACCUGCUUCAGAGCCAGCUCCACAAAUAAAUUCAGUUGAAGCAGAAUCAGUUUCUGGGUUUCCAAGUCCCCUUUCGCCAUAUGCAUCUUAUCCAGAUUUCAAGCCCCCAACAUCUCCUACUCCAUCACAGCCCUAAAGUUAUAGUUGCAUGUCUUCAGGCGUGUUUCUACAAGAAGCAACCGUUUUGCCGGCCAUUUGUAGGGCUAUUUCAUGAGUUGUCCAAUCUGUGCUCUUGAAACGUAAAAUUUUAUGGCUUUACUUGACAUUCAAGCGAAGGAUUUAAGGGAUGAUUUGGGGUCUUCCAGCCAAUAAGAUUAUGUUUCUCUUAGCUCUUCAUAGCUUGUGGAUCUUUUGUAGAACUUGUUCAUGAUUUAACUAUAUAAACCAGUGUGGUAUGGUUCAGUUUUUUAAGACUGUAGAAAUAUAGCAUGUGUAAAAUCCGUAUGUAACUUUCACUGGGAUAGUUACGUGCCAUGUUUGUGUGAACUAAGACUUCUUAAGUUCUCUCCGCUGUUUAAAAUUAUAAAUUUCAAUAUUGUUUUCCUAAGGAUGGGACGUUAAACCCAA
rnacentral:misc_RNA from 1 species